GCCAGAAGAGGAGCGUUGCCCAGGUAACCGUAUUCGAGGAGCCCAUCCAGAGACGAUACGUGAGGGGGAGCACCGCCGAGGUGGUGGACUGCACGGCAGCAUUCACCAUCGGCUACAGGGGCUGAAUCCCCUGAGUUGUCACCAGAAACGUUCGCAGUCGGGCGUUUCACAAGUGGUGGAGCACUUCUGGGU
rnacentral:ncRNA from 1 species